rnacentral:rRNA from 1 species
AUUGAACGCUGGCGGCAUGCUUUACACAUGCAAGUCGAACGGUAACAGGUCUUCGGCUGCUGACGAGUGGCGCACGGGUGAGUAAUACAUCGGAACGUGCCUAGUAGUGGGGGAUAACUACUCGAAAGAGUAGCUAAUACCGCAUGAGAUCUACGGAUGAAAGCAGGGGACCUUCGGGCCUUGUGCUACUAGAGCGGCUGAUGGCAGAUUAGGUAGUUGGUGGGGUAAAGGCUUACCAAGCCUGCGAUCUGUAGCUGGUCUGAGAGGACGACCGGCCACACUGGGACUGAGACACGGCCCAGACUCCUACGGGAGGCAGCAGUGGGGAAUGUUGGACAAUGGGCGAAAGCCUGAUCCAGCAAUGCCGCGUGCAAGAUGAAGGCCCUCGGGUUGUAAACUGCUUUUGUGCGGAACGAAAAGCCUGGGGCUAAUAUCCCCGGGUCAUGACGGUACCGGAAGAAUAAGCACCGGCUAACUACGUG